rnacentral:rRNA from 1 species
UACAGAGGUCCCAAGCGUUGUUCGGAUUCAUUGGGCGUAAAGGGUGCGUAGGCGGCGCGGUAAGUCGGGUGUGAAAUCUCGGAGCUUAACUCCGAAACUGCAUUCGAUACUGCCGUGCUUGAGGACUGGAGAGGAGACUGGAAUUCCGUGGUGUAGCGGUGAAAUGCGCAGAUAGUCAAGGAGGAACACCGGUGGCGAAGGCGGGUCUCU